rnacentral:tRNA from 1 species
GUCUCCGUGGCGCAAUCGGUUAGCGCGCUCGGCUGUUAACCGAAAGGCUGGUGGUUCAAGCCCACCCGGGGACG